UACGAAGGGGGCUAGCGUUGUUCGGAAUUACUGGGCGUAAAGGGCGCGUAGGCGGUGUGUCAAGUCAGGUGUGAAAGCCCCCGGCUCAACCGGGGAACAGCAUUUGAUACUGGCAGACUCGAGGAUGGUAGGGGUGAGUGGAACUCCAGGUGGAGCGGUGAAAUGCGUAGAUAUCUGGAGGAACACCGGUGGCGAAAGCGGCUCACUGGACCAUCACUGACGCUGAGGUGCGAAAGCUAGGGUAGCAAACGGG
rnacentral:rRNA from 1 species